CCUACGGGAGGCAGCAGUGGGGAAUAUUGGACAAUGGGGGGAACCCUGAUCCAGCCAUGCCGCGUGUGUGAAGAAGGCCCUCGGGUUGUAAAGCACUUUCAGUGAGGAAGAACGCCUGGUGGUUAAUACCCAUCAGGAAAGACAUCACUCACAGAAGAAGCACCGGCUAACUCCGUGCCAGCAGCCGCGGUAAUACGGAGGGUGCGAGCGUUAAUCGGAAUUACUGGGCGUAAAGCGCGCGUAGGUGGCUUGAUAAGCCGGUUGUGAAAGCCCCGGGCUCAACCUGGGAACGGCAUCCGGAACUGUCAAGCUAGAGUGCAGGAGAGGAAGGUAGAAGUCCCGGUGUAGCGGUGAAAUGCGUAGAGAUCGGGAGGAAUACCAGUGGCGAAGGCGGCCUUCUGGACUGACACUGACACUGAGGUGCGAAAGCGUGGGUAGCAAACAGGAUUAGAUACCCUUGUAGUC
rnacentral:rRNA from 1 species